AUUGAACGCUGGCGGCAUGCCUUACACAUGCAAGUCGAACGGCAGCACAGAGGAGCUUGCUCCUUGGGUGGCGAGUGGCGGACGGGUGAGGAAUACAUCGGAAUCUACUCUGUCGUGGGGGAUAACGUAGGGAAACUUACGCUAAUACCGCAUACGACCUACGGGUGAAAGCAGGGGAUCUUCGGACCUUGCGCGAUUGAAUGAGCCGAUGUCGGAUUAGCUAGUUGGCGGGGUAAAGGCUCACCAAGGCGACGAUCCGUAGCUGGUCUGAGAGGAUGAUCAGCCAAACUGGAACUAAGAAACGGUCCAGACUCCUACGGGAGGCAGCAGUGGGGAAUAUUGGACAAUGGGCGCAAGCCUGAUUCAGCCAUACCGCGUGGGUGAAGAAGGCCUUCGGGUUGUAAAGCCCUUUUGUUGGGAAAGAAAUCCAGCUGGUUAAUACCCGGUUGGGAUGACGGUACCCAAAGAAUAAGCACCGGCUAACUUCGUGCCAGCAGCCGCCGUAA
rnacentral:rRNA from 1 species